rnacentral:antisense_RNA from 1 species
CUUGAUCGAGCCGAGCCACAGCGGCCGACCCUCCGGACGGUCCUGGCCGUACGUGGCGAUGAGCGCCUGGGCCUC